UAGAAGUCCCAUGCGGAAGCGUGGCAGACCACUUGGCGCCCGUCGGUGGGCUUCUCCAGCAUGGAUUUGUCCCAGAACUCUUUUGGCAUUGGCAGCAGCCCCAGAGAGCUUCACACUCGCCGACUGGCUCGGAAAGUCAAGUGAAGCGAAGCCUACCUGAGGUACCACCAUUCUGCGUUGUAUCGCUCCGGGGGGAUGUUGCCCCCAAAUACGCCCCAUCUCCAUUGGUCGAUAAGGUAGCCAAAAGGAAGGAAGGCUAUCUUCUCCAGUGCCAUCUUUAACAGGGUCGGACGUCGCCGACUGCAGCAGUCCGAUGGUCUUCAGGUGUUUGGGGGUGGAGACGGACAGAGAUAGGACGUCGCCGAUGGCUUCGUGAAAGCCGGGGUUGGCCCCGCCGCGGAAGCCCACGGGUUGGUCCUUGUACUGGAGGCUCAACGCUUUUGAGGCACAAGACACGUUCUGCGCCGUGACCCUGCUUGGCUUUGGCAUGGCGGGGGGGGGGGGGGGGGGGGGGGCGCCUGCAUCUCCACCUGUUCUCCAAGACUGGAUGCGAUACAGAAUUCCUGCUGUGACAGCUGUAUCAGCACAGACAUCACAAUAAAAGCCUCAGAUCGGGCAGGAUCAGCAUCCGGAGGCCAAUCCGAGCACGGGGAGAUAAGAUACGAUCCAGCAGCUGAGCCGAGAAGAGACUUGUCACCACCUCGCGGACCGGCACAAGGAGGGACACGGCAUACUUUGCUCUCUGGCUGAAGCUUUUGCAAAUGCGUGCACACUUUCAAUGGUGGCAGAUGUGUGCUGACUCCUACUUAACAUCGGUUUGAAUGGUAGAAAUACUCCCUCAGGGAAAAAAAAGUACCGGUAAGUUCAGGUAAGUCAUUGAAAAGCCCUCAAUGAAUACGCGAAGACAUUUGUAGGUAGCACUGCAACAGCGUCUCGUUAUUUUAUCACUUGUGGUCAAAAGGGUGUCUUGUUAUGAGAUUCAAUUUAACCGAAGCGUUGAGCAUCUGACACAUUUCUACAUCAAAGUGUUUACACACCUGUGGUUGUGGUUCCGAGCCAACCAAAUUUGCACGUUGUCACACAGCUCAAUACGGUCCCAAAUAGUCACUUGAUAAGCUCACGCAUGGGAAUUUCUUUCUAACGUGCCGAUGGUUUUCCCAUUCCUGGAUUUUUUUUUAUUUUUUUUUUAGAUGCAGAGCGUUGCUGUCCCAACUCCAGUGGAAUCUCGCUGAUUUUUUUUUGAACUGUGUAGGGUAACUGGCCAUCCGCCCACAGGGACACACACUUGGUGCGGUAAUUGGUCGACUUCCAACUGUUCCGACAACAUUUCCUGAAAAACAUGAAGCGCUUUGACUCUGUUGUUCCACUUGUCAAGUGGCACUGCUGCCCUCACACUGGCUACUUUUUAGGAACCAG